GAUGGGUGGGAUCCCCGCUGUGAACGGCCGUGGGGAGCGGCUGCUGCUGCACAUUGGCAUCAUCGACAUCCUGCAGUCCUACAGGUUCAUCAAGAAACUGGAGCAUACCUGGAAGGCCCUCGUCCACGAUGGGGACACGGUGUCCGUCCACCGCCCCAGCUUCUAUGCCGAGCGCUUUUUCAAGUUCAUGAGCAACACGGUCUUUCGGAAGAACUCCUCCCUGAAGUCCUCGCCCUCCAAGAAGGGGCGCGGCGGAGCCUUGCUAGCUGUGAAACCGCUGGGACCCACCGCUGCCUUCUCGGCCAGCCAGAUCCCUAGCGAGCGGGAGGAGGCCCAGUACGACCUGCGGGGGGCCCGCAGCUACCCCACGCUGGAGGACGA
rnacentral:sRNA from 1 species